rnacentral:rRNA from 1 species
GUGGGGAAUAUUGCACAAUGGGCGCAAGCCUGAUGCAGCAACGCCGCGUGAGGGACGACGGCCUUCGGGUUGUAAACCUCUUUUAGCAGGGAAGAAGCGAAAGUGACGGUACCUGCAGAAAAAGCACCGGCUAACUACGUGCCAGCAGCCGCGGUAAUACGUAGGGUGCAAGCGUUGUCCGGAAUUAUUGGGCGUAAAGAGCUCGUAGGCGGUUUGUCGCGUCUGCUGUGAAAACCCGAGGCUCAACCUCGGGCCUGCAGUGGGUACGGGGAGACUAGAGUGCGGUAGGGGGGAUUGGAAUUCCUGGUGCAGCGGUGGAAUGCGCAGAUAUCAGGAGGAACACCGAUGGCGAAGGCAGAUCUCUGGGCCGUAACUGACGCUGAGGAGCGAAAGCGUGGGGAGCGAACAGGAUUAGAUACCCGAGUAGUCC